rnacentral:rRNA from 1 species
UGGGGAAUAUUGGACAAUGGGCGCAAGCCUGAUCCAGCCAUGCCGCGUGAGUGAUGAAGGCCUUAGGGUUGUAAAGCUCUUUCGCCGACGAAGAUAAUGACGGUAGUCGGAGAAGAAGCCCCGGCUAACUUCGUGCCAGCAGCCGCGGUAAUACGGAAGGGGGCUAGCGUUGUUCGGAAUCACUGGGCGUAAAGCGCACGUAGGCGGAUUGUUAAGUCAGGGGUGAAAGCCUGGAGCUCAACUCCAGAACUGCCCUUGAUACUGGCAAUCUCGAGUCCGGAAGGAGGUAAGUGGAACUGCGAGUGUAGAGGUGAAAUUCGUAGAUAUUCGCAAGAACACCAGUGGCGAAGGCGGCCUUACUGGUCCGGUACUGACGCUGAGGUGCGAAAAGCGUGGGGAGCAAAACAGGAUUAGAUACCCUGGUAGUCCACGCCGUAAAACGAUGGAGGCUAGCCGUUGGCGAGCAUGCUCGUCAGUGGCGCAGCUAACGCAUUAAGCCUCCCGCCU